rnacentral:lncRNA from 1 species
AGGUCCCCCCGGGACGCACGUGCGCGGCGCCAGGCCCUGCUCGGGUCACUCGGGCGCGGGCAAGGUGACCGCUUCCCCACCGCCGCUCCUAUGGGUUAAGAAAGCCCUUGGCCCUUCUCCUGAGCUCUCUUUCCCGCCUUUCCCUUCGAAGUAGUUUGUGUGUUUUAAAUAAAGAUUUCAUUCUGCCAACCCGCAGGAAGCUUUUAACCAGAUGCAGCUGAGCUUGCCGAGGUCUGCUAUCUUCUCGCUGCGGGGCGGGGUGUUCGGAACUCGAGUCUCCUCUGAACUCCAGUUUAAGGCUGGCAUCGUGCAGGCGCGGUGCCCCUGGGGCUGCUUUACUCUGGCUUCUACACAGCCAUUCUUUGGUGACCUCGGGGAAGACAGGACCCGAAAGCCACGCAAGGACAGUAACGAGGAAGAACCGAAUAAUGAAAUUAAGGAACAUAUGGAAAGGAAAGACACUGUUGACAGGGAGGCAAUUAUCUUAGGAGAAGCUCCAAGCCCACUUCAGGUGAGUUUGAUUUCUAAACACAAGAGUCUGCCCUAAUCCACGGAUUUCAUUUCCCUGGUUCUAGUUACCCGUGGUUAACCACACUUUUAGAAUAUCAAUAUGUAUAUCUUGAUUCUUGUAAGAGAGAGACCACAUUCACAUAAUUUUAUUACAGCAUAUUGGUAUAAUUGUUCUACUUUACUAUUUUAUUGUUGUUAAUUUCCUACUGGGUCUAAUUUAUCAGUUAGAGUUUAUAUAGGAAAAGAUACAGUAUCUAUUACAUAGGCAGCAGGCAAUAAGGGUCCUGGGAUUUAGCUCAGUGGUUCUGCUACGUGCCUUGCAAGCGCAAGGACCUGAGUUCGAUCCCUGGUACAAAAAAAAAGAGAAAGAGAUGAGGAAUCAUUUCCUUCUGAGGAAAACGUAGACAACUAUAGCCAUCUCACAAUUUGCCGUCUUUGUUUAUUUUUUUUAUUUUUUACUUUCCUGUGCAGAAACAAUGGGCAUAUAAUUCAUUCUCCCUUAUCACCACCUUUCCUUCUACAGUUAUGCCAAUUGGCAGAAAGUAUGAGUAGAAACAGUUUCAUCCUGAUAGUAGUUUGGGAAGGCGGGCCCUUGUGAACCCAACCGCUCCUGCCAUUGCACGUGGGACUAAGACAGUUCUCUGCUCUUCCAGCUUUCAUUUGGUCGGUGAAGGCACAGGCCUAAUGCGCCCUUAAUCUAAUGCUACCAAGAUAACACAGGGCAAGGAAAAAGUGCCAUGUGCUCAUCCAAUUUAAGAAGUCUUCAUAAGGGGGGCCGUAUUCUUCAUGAUUGUGUUUUCCAGGUGCUGCACCCACCAUGUGACUGAUGCUAAAUUGCACACAAUCCAAGUAUUUUGGAAAUAUGGAUUUUUUUCCUUUUGUAUUAAUUUUGUUGAUCAUUUUCCAUCCUAACCCUUCCAUCCCAGGUGCUUUUCUCUGUGUCCUUUGGAUUUGUCUUUAGAAACUACAUCGGACUGGUUCUGUUGUCCUCUACAGCGGGCAGUGGAGGCUGAAUAAAAAGAAUGCAAUCCACAAAUGCUUUAGGCGAGUGAUUAAAAUACAUCUUAUAAAUUAAAGAUUGGAGCGAGUUUUUUUUUUAAAGAAAGUUGCAUACCAUUUGAUAAAGAAAAUCUAAUAGUUCCUAUGAGUUUUUAAAUCUACUUUUACCUUCAGAAUUAAUAAAAUCUUAGCAAAUACGGCUUCACCUA